GCCUCCGGGACGGAGUGGUCCCCUCGAGUAGUGCAGGAGCUGCAAGAGAAGCGCGCCGGGGCCAGCAAGCUCUAGAACAGCAGGAGCGGCCCCAGUUGGGACCCCGGGACGACGAGUGGCCGGCAACGCGGCGCCGGCAUGGCCCAAGCAGUGUCCGAGAGGGGUCGGGAACCCGGACUGGGGGCGCAGCGAGGACCGCCCGGAGGCUUUCCCUUGGGCAGCUAAGUCCGAGUCAGCUCUACUCGGAUUUCCAGCUUCCAGCCCCGGCUCAGAAGCGCCCUUGAGAAUGUCUUAAGGAGACAGCUGAUAGACAAACAACAGUUUUGGAUUUACUGACUGAUUAUGAAAGAAGCAGUAGACUGGUAUCAAGAAUCAGUCAGGUUUUUGGAAUCCUUACGUUUCCACAUGUGGAAAGCCUGAGCUAACCUACUGGAGGAUGAGCCAUCACCUGGAGCAGACUCAGGCCAUCCUAGUUGAAGCCUCCCCAAGCCAAGCAACCUUCCAACUACCAGACAUUGACCAUUCAGCCUUGAACGUUCAGCACAAAGACAAAACAGACCAGACCAGAAGAGUCCCACAGAAUAGGGGAAACUAUUCAGAGAAAACUUAAGCCACUAAGUUUUAUGGUGUUUUGUUCUGUAGCAGAAGCAUACUGACAAUACAAACCGAAAUCCUUCUAAUGUAGUGGACCUUUUCAGGCCAGCAUUUUUUCCUUGAAAACCUGGAGCAUGUAUCCAUCUUAUAGCAGAGAUCACUUUCACAAUGUUUGGGCUCUUGAUUUGAAUUGAUGAUGUAAUGAGCCCUCUAUCCAGAUUGUAACUAAUUACUCUGCCACUUGACCGGAUUCCACACCCUUCUAAUAUUUUACUUUUCCUCUUUUAUCAACUCUCAUUCUCUCUGCCAUGAUCAAUAGACCAACUAUGCUUAUAACCACAAAUUUUGAUAUGCUUAAACAAAUGAACAAAUAUAUUUAAUAAUUUCUUUUUUUUUUUUAAAUGGUGUCUUGCUCUGUCACCCAGGCUGCAGUGCAGCAGUGUGAUCUCAGCUCACUACAACCUCCACCUCCCGGGUUCAAGUGAUUCUCCUGCCUCAGCCUCCCAAGUAGCUGGGACUACAGGUGCCCGCCACCAUACCCGGCUAAUUUUUUGUAUUUUUAGUAGAGACAGGGUUUAUCCAUGUUGGCCAGGCUGGUCUUGAACUCCCAACCUCAAGCGAUCCUCCUGCCUCAGCCUCCCAAAGUGCUGGGAUUACAGAUGUGAGCCUCCAUGCCCAGACAAUAAUUUCUCGAUAUAAUAAAAAUGCCAAUGCUAUACAAUUAAUAGUAAAGUGAUAAAAAGUAGAAUAACAUGAUAACCAUUAAUUAAUAUAUAUUACAUAAUCAUCCUUUUCAUGAGUUGAAAUGUUCUUUUAGCACACUUUAUGGUUUAUCCUUUCUGGAAUACUAUUAUAUGAUCAUGAUUUUUCUCACACUUGUUCCAACGAAAUAUAAUUUUAGGUGUUUCCUUCAUAUUGUUCAAAUUGUAAUAUCUCCAGUGGAAGAUUUUUUAAGCUUGUUCUUGUCUUGUCAGUGUCACCCCACAUAGUCAUAGUCUGAAAGCAUCUUGCUUUCUGGAAAUGAGAUAUUAUAGGCACCAAGAUACGGAAUUAUUACUUUUCACCAAGCCUUGGUUCUUUCAGUGGUGUAUUAGAGACCUCAUUUAGGGUUCUAAGGGUACAUAUCAAAUUGUUCCAUGAGUCUAAAAUGGAUAAUUCUGCUGUGGGCCAUUUUUAGUGAUAGGGCUAGAAAAGUUAUACUUUUAAAAGGUAAAUAGCUCACAAUGAUUUUGCAAUAUAAUUCCCACUUUACCC